UACGAAGGGGGCUAGCGUUGCUCGGAAUCACUGGGCGUAAAGGGUGCGUAGGCGGGUCUUUAAGUCAGGGGUGAAAUCCUGGAGCUCAACUCCAGAACUGCCUUUGAUACUGAAGAUCUUGAGUUCGGGAGAGGUGAGUGGAACUGCGAGUGUAGAGGUGAAAUUCGUAGAUAUUGGGAAGAACACCGGUGGCGAAGGCGGCUCUCUAGUACGGUACUGACGCUGAGACGCGAAAGCGUGGGGAGCGAACAGG
rnacentral:rRNA from 1 species